CCGGGCGCAUCGGGAGAGCGCGACGUCACGGGCCGGCAGGCAUGCGCAUUGCGCGGAUGCUUGCAUAGCCGACGUCGCCGCCGAAGGGGUAACACCCAUAAACUCUCAGGCAAAAGGACCGAUCGCGCCGG
rnacentral:ncRNA from 2 species